rnacentral:lncRNA from 1 species
AACAAUGUUCUUUAUUAAUCAAUGAUUGGAUUAUGGUAAUCUAAUUAAUUAUCUCUAUAGUAGAGAUGAUAUGGUAGUGUUAAACUGUUUAGAAAAUAAUGAUGCUUAAAACCCAAAAGGUUGCAAGGUAGUGACUAAUCCCAACUAAAGUUGUGAUACGUCUAAAACAUAAAUUACGAGUUGGUCAUAGAUGGACGCUUUGGAUCGUAAGGUCCGGAUCCAAUACCUUCUUGUUAAAAUUGUAUGGAGGCGAAAUGUUCGAAUCUUUAUUCUUUUGGAAGAAGAAAGAAUCACAAAGUUGUUGAGGUUAAUUCACUUAGAUGUUAGUGGCACUUGUCCACAAACAUAAUACUACUCAUGUUGGAUAACAUUCACCGAAGAUCACUCUCGGUUGGACUAUAGUUUAUUUUGAAUAAACACAAGUCCGAAUACUUUGAAAAAUGUUUCAAAGAAUUCAAGAAAUGUAAGUUGAUGAGUAAGACAUCUAAAAGUAUUUACCUCCUUAGAUUUGAUCCAAGGAAAGGUAACACUUUAGAUAAGUUUCCUUGAAAGAUAUCAAGGAAAAUGGCAUCAUAAGAUAAUGUAUUUCUCCAUUAGGAGAAGAACGAACUUGAAUAAGAUUUAGUUCGUUAGAUGUUAUCUAUUACCCAUAUAUAGGAUAUAUACUUCUAAAAACAAUAUGAUUGUCAAUGAGAAGAUCUUCCAAUAUUUUUAUGACUCCAUAAGAUGUAGUUGGAAAGAAAGACAAAUCUUAAGCAUGUUAAAGAUUUGGGGUUGUGUGCUAACAAGCAAUAUUUGUUUGAUAAUAAUCUUGUAGGAUAUCCUUAAAAUAACUUUUGGAUAUCGCUUCUAUAAACCAACUAACAAAUGUUGUUUUGUUGGGUAGUUCAUUGUAAUUCUACAAUGUGAUUUGCCUAAAAGCAAAUGAACGAGAGAUAGAACUCAAAGAAUGGGUUCUUUGAGAGACAAGAAAGUAAUCAACAAAUAUAACAACCUAGUUCCUAUACCACAAGCUCCAAGGUAGUCGAUAAGGAUUUAUAAACCGUCUCAGUUGAAUGGUUUUGAACUUUAUGACUAUGUCAUAGAGUUCCACCUCUUAAUUCGAAAGAAAUAAGAAUGAAAAUCCUUAUGACUACAUUGAGUGCAUAUACGAUAUAUACUCAAGGAAAUGGUAAAGUACCAUUUGACUCGAAAUAAUGAAACCUUCAAAAGCUAAUUGGUAGCUUAAGGUGACUACAAUCAAAGAGAAUGGUUGACUUUAAAAGGAACCAUUUUUGACGUAGUCUUAGUUUCAAUUAAUUCGAAGAUUGCUAGCUACAACUAAAUGGUGAUUCAAUGUUUUGACAUAAUAUGGGUUUCCGAAACCAUUAUUAAGAUAGUCUUGAUAAUAUAUGUGUAAAACUACUAAUCACAAGACAUGUAAGUUGUAGAGAUCCAUCCAUCAUGGAUCUUAGCAAGUUAGUGGGAGCUAUUUGCAUUUUAUGAGAAAAAGGAUCAAAUCGUUUGAUUUCUCAUAAAGAUGUAAAUGAAUCUUUUGUUUACUAGUUUUACAAAAGAUUAGUGGGAGUUAAUCAUGUUCCUAAAAAUAUAAAUAUAUAUGAUAUAUUAAUUUUGGAAAUGAAAAGAAUACUUCUUUGUUAAAGUUAUGACUUUAAUACAUUAUAUGAAGAUAGAAUGUAUAUGGGAGAUAUAGUCUAUAUACAUGGGAUGAAAUCUAUAAUGAUAUAUUUCAUGAUAUAAUUGGAUUAUAUCAAUCCCUAAUAAUAGACAAUGGAUGCUAGGAAGUUUCUCAUAUGAUGAUAAACUUCAAUUAGAAGGAUGACUCUAGUAAGACUAGCAAGUUGCCCUUCUCAAAGGGAACGUGCCCCUUUGACUCCCAAAGAAAUAAUGCGUAAAUUGAAUCCUUUAUGCAUAUGCAGAAAGGUGAUUUAUGUAUUUCAUAUUGUAUGAAAAACAUUGAUAUGAGUUGUACCUAGAACGGUACAAGACGAUAUCAAUGCAAGCCCAGGAUCAGAACCAUGGCAACUGUCAAGUGAGUCCUUAAGUAUUUAAGAAAUACUAAAGGAUAAAUUCCUCAAAGAUCGAGGAAGAAUUAGAGUAACGUAAUGGAAGCGUAAAUGUAUUAGAUUAUGAAUCUAAUCCAUCAUUGGAUGUUUCUUCAUUACGAAUGAAGAGAUAAACGAAUAUCUCUUUAUUAUGACUAAAGAGAUAUUUGGAUGGAAACAUUAAAGUAAUGACU